GGAUCGGUAGCUUAGUUGGCAAAGCGCUUGUCUAGCAUACAAGAGUCCUGGGUUCAAAUCCCAGUCGAGCUC
rfam:Aedes aegypti strain Liverpool supercont1.308 genomic scaffold, whole genome shotgun sequence.